UACUGGGAAGGCAAAGACAGACA
rnacentral:piRNA from 1 species